CCUACGGGAGGCAGCAGUGGGGAAUAUUGGGCAAUGGGCGCAAGCCUGACCCAGCAACGCCGCGUGAAGGAAGAAGGCUUUCCGGUUGUAAACUUCUUUUGUCAGGGACGAAGCAAGUGACGGUACCUGACGAAUAAGCCACGGCUAACUACGUGCCAGCAGCCGCGGGAAUACGGAGGUGGCAAGCGUUAUCCGGAUUUAAUGGGUGUAAAGGGCGUGUAGGCGGGACUGCAAGUCAGAUGUGAAAACCACGGGCUCAACCUGUGGCCUGCAGUUGAAACUGUAGUUCUUGAGUGCUGGAGGGGCAGACGGAAUUCCUGGUGUAGCGGUGAAAUGCAUAGAUAUUAGGAGGAACUCCAGUGGCGAAGGCAGUCUGCUGGACAGCAACUGACGCUGAGGCGCGAAAGCGUGGGGAGCAAACAGGAUUAGAUACCCUGGUAGUC
rnacentral:rRNA from 1 species